AAGGGAAAUGACCAAUCGCGCAAAACGCCCUUUACCGCAGAAAACACGCGGGUCCUGAGGGCACCGGAUCUAGUAAUCGGGUCUGCCCGUACCGCAUCAAAACGUCGUUGUUUCGUCUAGGGGAAUUUGAACCAAAACGCUGCCGUUUUGAUUAAUCAUUUAAAACCAAAAUUUUGCAUCCAAAAAUUCAUUUUGCUGCUGUUUCAAAAGAAAAACCUAAAGGAUUUUUUCUUUUAAAUCCCUCCCCUAUUCGGCCGGCGGCGGCUCCGUCGGAUAUCCAACGCACCACGGCCGUAGAUGGUGGCCCGAACCCCACAAAUGGGGGUGUUUAGCUCCCUUUCGAAAAGGGAAAUGAAGGCUUAGCCUUCUUGACUCGAAAGAACAAAAGAGGAAAGCGCUCGACCCUCCCGAGAUCCGAUUACGAUGAACGGAGUAGAACCCUCCGACGGCGCGAGCACGAUGCGACUUCGGUUCAAUGGCCGUACGGAGGUUGCAGACGUGGGCAUGACGAGGCUGUGCGGCUGAAGCUCUUAGUGUUUAGGGUUUACUCGCAAUCAGUUUUGGGUUUGGGCCACUUGGGCUUGUAUUUGGGUUAUAUGGAACUGUUUAUUGGACUUUAAUAUUUGUUUUUUGUUUUGUUUUGGAUUGUUUUUGGUUGUUGGGCCCGGGCAAAUUGGGCCUCUUACAAAGGCUUUUAACGUUUAUAAAUACAGCAAAACGUUUUCCAUGA